GAAGCACAGGGUUGUACUGUACAGGUCAGCAAGAACCCUGCCCCAGGAGAGUGGCCCUUUCUACAAAGAUUAAAGAGGUCCAGGGAACCUGAGAACUUUGGAUGUGGGAUAACGGUUCCUGGGUGCUCACCAGCGUCUCCACCAUGUUGGAUUUGUUGUUGCGGAGGGUUUUCACGAUGUGGAACACGUCUAUGAUGUUCUGCUGCUGGAUCAUCUCACACACACUGCAGAUAGCACAGAAGGUUCCGCUGCGGCCUCCCCCAUUUCUAAACACAGAGUGAAAAGGAAACAACACAAGGAUACUGUGGUCAAUGGGAACCACUUUAUCCCAAGCUUCAUUGUGCCCAGCAGGAUGAUUUGCAUACCUGUAUAGAACUCAAUUCUGUGUUGGAAGUACUGGGAAGCAGUCUGCCUACUAUGUUCUGCUUCAGCAGCACACCAUGCAACCAUAGUAUAGAAAAACCAGGCACCUCAGUUCAUCAAAGGAUUCUAAUUCCUAUGGAUGCAUUGUCAAUGGAUUAUAAGGGACAUGACUACUGGAUAUGCCUCAGACUGGCUAUGUCACCAGCACAGAGGGAUGACUUCCAGUCACCCAUCACCCCAGCUCCUCAGCACUCACAGGCAGUGGACCACAGUGCGCCCCUCUCUUCCGUCGUAUUGCUCCUGCCAUUUCUCCAGCCGUCGGACCACUUUGAGUAGAG